UACGAAGGGGGCUAGCGUUGUUCGGAAUCACUGGGCGUAAAGGGCGCGUAGGCGGCUUUUCAAGUCGGGGGUGAAAGCCUGUGGCUCAACCACAGAAUUGCCUUUGAUACUGUUAGGCUUGAGACCGGAAGAGGUGAGUGGAACUGCGAGUGUAGAGGUGAAAUUCGUAGAUAUUCGCAAGAACACCGGUGGCGAAGGUGGCCACCUGGACGGUAACUGGACGCUGAGACGCGAAAGCGUGGGGAGCAAACAGG
rnacentral:rRNA from 1 species